rnacentral:rRNA from 1 species
UAAUACGUAGACCUCAAGCGUUAUCCGGAUUUAUUGGGCGUAAAGGGUGUGUAGGCGGUUUAAAUAGUCAGAUGUUAAAUCAUUGGGCUCAACCCAGUGACUGCACUUGAAACGUUUAAACUAGAAAUAUGCAGAGGUUAGCGGAACUCAUGGUGUAGCAGUGAAAUGCGUUGAUAUCAUGGGGAACACCAAAGGCGAAGGCAGCUAACUGGGCAUUUUUUGACGCUGAGACACGAAAGCGUGGGUAGCGAACGGGAUUAGAUACCCCGGUAGUCCAUGCCGUAAACGAUGUACACUAGAUAUUGGGAGUUUCGACCCUCUCAGUGUCUAAGCUAACGCGAUAAGUGUACCGCCUGGGAAGUACGAGCGCAAGCUUA